AGCAGUGGGGAAUUUUCCGCAAUGGGCGAAAGCCUGACGGAGCAAUACCGCGUGAGGGAGGAAGGCUCUUGGGUUGUAAACCUCUUUUCUCAGGGAAGAAAAAAAUGACGGUACCUGAGGAAUCAGCAUCGGCUAACUCCGUGCCAGCAGCCGCGGUAAUACGGAGGAUGCAAGCGUUAUCCGGAAUGAUUGGGCGUAAAGCGUCCGCAGGUGGCUGUGUAAGUCUGCUGUUAAAGAGUGAGGCUCAACCUCAUAAGAGCAGUGGAAACUACACGGCUAGAGUGCGUUCGGGGCAGAGGGAAUUCCUGGUGUAGCGGUGAAAUGCGUAGAGAUCAGGAAGAACACCGGCGGCGAAAGC
rnacentral:rRNA from 1 species